AACGCACAUUGCGCCCCCUGGCAUUCCGGGGGGCAUGCCUGUCCGAGCGUCAUUUCUGCCCUCAAGCACGGCUUGUGUGUUGGGUGUGGUCCCCCUGGGGACCUGCCCGAAAGGCAGCGGCGACGUCCGUCUGGUCCUCGAGCGUAUGGGGCUCUGUCACUCGCUCGGGAAGGACCUGCGGGGGUUGGUCACCACCACAUCUUUUUACAAGGUUGACCUCGGAUCAGGUAGGAGUUACCCGCUGAACUUAA
rnacentral:misc_RNA from 3 species